GGGACGUGUGAGAACACCAAGGGAGUCUGUUUUGACAUCAUCCCGAACUGAACUUAAGCUGUAGCUCCUAUGAAUUGAAACGGCACACUGAAAAAGGGGAAAGAAAACAGCUUGAAACCUGUUUCAGACCCUGCGUGAGACGAGAAACAGAGUCAGCGGAAAUGAGAAGUCAGCUGGAUUCAGCAAGUCCUCAAAAGGACUAUUUUCUCUGUCAAAUCUUCUGAAAUGAGGUGGAAAUAAAUCCUGUAGGAAGACCA
rnacentral:lncRNA from 12 species